AAUAUGAAAAGUAAAGAAAUAAAAUCAAGAGCAUACUCGCAUAAUAGGCCGUCCAAAACUUUUCGGCCUGUUCUUCUGGCUUGAGUAAUAGAUCGUCGGGAGUCCAACCUAGUUCGGCUAAGGAGGCUUCUAGGUCGGAGCCGUUAGUCUUCAACUUCUUGGCGGGGGAUGAAGGGUCCAAGUCCGAUGGUAAGGAUGUGGGGAGCCUCUUCGGUUGGUUCAUUUCCGGUGGUGAGGAUUUGGGUUUCAGUUCCGGUGGGGAGGAUUUGGGGCUUCUUUGAGGUUUGGGCGUCGCCUUCAAUUUGGUGGUUGGACUCGCUUCUAUGUUAUAUAAAACGUUAAAAAUAAGCUAAAAUUAGAUCAAAAUUGCACGAGUGGGAUGGCGAGGAACAAGGCUCAAAAUCAGGAACAAGACAGAAGCUGCUCUUCAAAGAAGUGGAUUCUAACUCAAAGGCUCAAACAAUGAUGGUUGAAGAAGGGGAAGAUAGGAUCAGUGCAUUACCGGAUGAACUUGUUUGUCACAUACUUUCCUUACUUCCAACAAUAUAUGCUGUCAGAACAACCGUUUGUCUACAAGAUGGAAGGGCAAGUGGACUUCUGUUCGCAAUUUGGAGUUCAAUGACGAACAUUUGAAUUACCGCCAUAAGCGAUUUCUAAGUUUUGUUUAUCGUGUCUUCUUUCGCGACUCAUCAUCAGAAAUCUGCAAGUUCUCUAUUUCUGUUACUGGGGAUUUGUAUCGCAUUAUGGGUAAACUUACUGCAUGGUCUCCUGCCAAUUGGGUUUGCACUGCUGUGAGGUGUAAUCCUGUUGAACUGGAAGUUUGUGGUUUUAAUGAAUUUUUGCCAUUUGAGAUACCUGAGAGCCUUCUG